rnacentral:rRNA from 1 species
AUGAACGCUAGCGGGAGGCCUAACACAUGCAAGCCGAGCGGUAUUGUUUCUUCGGGAAAUGAGAGAGCGGCGUACGGGUGCGGAACACGUGUGCAACCUACCUUUAUCUGGAGGAUAGCCUUUCGAAAGGAAGAUUAAUACUCCAUAAUAUAUUGAUUGGCAUCAGUUGAUAUUGAAAGCUCCGGCGGAUAAAGAUGGGCACGCGCAAGAUUAGCUAGUUGGUGAGGUAACGGCUCACCAAGGCGAUGAUCUUUAGGGGGCCUGAGAGGGUGAUCCCCCACACUGGUACUGAGACACGGACCAGACUCCUACGGGAGGCAGCAGUGAGGAAUAUUGGUCAAUGGGUGCAAGCCUGAACCAGCCAUCCCGCGUGAAGGACGACUGCCCUAUGGGUUGUAAACUUCUUUUGUAUAGGGAUAAACCUACUCUCGUGAGAGUAGCUGAAGGUACUAUACGAAUAAGCACCGGCUAACUCCGUG